rnacentral:rRNA from 1 species
UACGUAGGGGGCUAGCGUUGUCCGGAAUCAUUGGGCGUAAAGCGCGUGUGGGCGGUCCGGUAAGUCCGCUGUGAAAGUCGGGGGCUCAACCCUCGGAUGCCGGUGGAUACUGUCGGGCUUGAGUACGGAAGAGGCGAGUGGAAUUCCUGGUGUAGCGGUGAAAUGCGCAGAUAUCAGGAGGAACACCAAUUGCGAAGGCAGCUCGCUGGGACGUUACUGACGCUGAGACGCGAAAGCGUGGGGAGCAAACAGG